GUUCAGAUUGCAGGCUGCAACCCGCCUGCAUGAAGUCGGAAUUGCUAGUAAUCGCGGAUCAGCAUGCCGCGGUGAAUACGUUCCCGGGGCCUUGUACACACCGCCCGUCACACCAUGGGAGCCGGUAAUACCCGAAGUCAGUAGUCCAACCUCGUGAGGACGCUGCCGAAGGUAGGAUUGGCGACUGGGGUGAAGUCGUAACAAGGUACC
rnacentral:rRNA from 1 species